rnacentral:sRNA from 1 species
GCUGGGUGUGGUGGUGCACACCUGUAAUCCCAGCAGCUUGGGAGGCUGAGGCAGGAGGAUCACAAAUUCAAAGCCAGCCUUAGCAAAAAGCGAGGCACUAAACAACUCAGUGAGACCCUGUCUCUA